UGGUCUCACUGCGCUUUGGAGUGUGAGCCUUUGUGACUCUGCACUCUUGGACAGUAGCAUCCAGCAACAUAGGAUACUUUGGGGAGAGAGAGGAAAAGAGACUGCCUCCUAGAAAAGCCCGAAAGCCCAGAAAAAUAAAGCAUAAAGCUGUGCCGUUUGGAAGAAGCAAGACCGUCUUUCCUCACAGCUAGGAUGCUGAACCGCUUUCGACAGAACCUGCUUUUCCCUCCAUUUACCUGGGCAGCUGCUGCUCUUUCUGCUGCUGCUGGGGCUGCUGCAGUCUUGCUGCCUGCGCUUCGCCCUGGCUUGGCUGACUCGAAACUCUCUCGUCUGCACAUUGCUAAGGAAGAAGAGCGAUGGAGCCGCGGAUUUUUUUUUAUUGGUUCUGGAAGCCAAGGGUUGCAAUAUGUGAUGAUUUUGGGGUUUUCUGUGGCCGGGGGGAGGGAGGAGAAAGAAAGGGUGUUAAUCUAGGAUAGGGUGGGUGAAAGCUUAAAGAAAUAUUAUGUCAAGUAAUCCAGUGCUCGACAAGGGCAUCAGCAACAAGAAUCCAGCCUCUGCUGCUCCAGAGGAUUAACAUGGGGAAGUCACAGUGCUGCAGUCGGGUUUCACCUCAGUGUUGUGCUGGAGAUGGAUAAAUAAGGUAUCGGUUGCAUCUGCCUGUUAAGGCAAAGCCAAGAGAGAAGGAGAGAGCGAGCGAAUGCAAAUGCAAAGGAAGAAGAAACGCUACGUGCCGUUUGUCCGAUUCUGUGGAUUCUCACUGCAGAGAGGAUGGCUUGAUUAACAAAGCAGUGUAUGGACGGAGGGACUGUAAAUUGUAGCUUGAGCACUCCUGGUGUUGUCAGGGAGUGAACUGAUGAGUUAGGUGGCUGCAGGAAUAUCCCCAGGGAAAAGAGCAGCCUCGCACUCUGUGUGUAUAUCUGUGCAUGUAUGUGCUUUUGUGUGUGUGUGAACAUGUAUAGAAAUGAAAGAAAGACAUUUCUGACCAAUUUACAGAGGACGUUUGUCAGUUUGCUGGGUCAGACUUGAUUGCAGCUUGUAUUUUCAGCUCCAGCUCUACACCCAUUUCCUGACUGAGGUGGCACUUUGUGAAAACAGAUGGUAGGCAAUAUUCUUUUAAGAAAUGUGAGAGCAGAUCCUUUCUGCUUAACACCUUGAAGCACUGAGUCUUCUGCACUGUGCUGAGAGAAAACGAGGGGUUUCGUUUUCUCCAUCUUAAAAUCUCUAUAAACACAGCUGUAUUCAGUAUGGUGAAAAAUUCUAUACUGUAAAUAGAAAUGUGAUCAAUCUAAUCAAAAUAAAUGCAUCCCAGAUGACUUCUA